AGUAAAAUAUGAGUAUCACUUGUGGGCUGUUGCGAUUUGGUAUAGCGUGUGGUGAUGCUGUAUAGCGUGAGGCUAUUGCUUUGUUGGAACCAAUGGUUGAAUUCGAUCCUGUAAAUUUUGUUCGUCAAGGUGCAUCCAUUGCAUCGGCAAUGAUAGUAAUACAGCAUACCGAUCAAACUUGUCCAAAAGUAACAUACUUUAUGCAAUUAUAAGCAGAAGUUAUAAGCAACAAACAUGAAGAUGUACUGGCAAAAUAUGGUGCUAUAUCAGCUCAAGGUAUUCUGGAUACUGGAGCUUUGUUGUUGGGCUGCGGAACCUUCGAUUUAAUAAAUUCAAGUGAGUGUUACUUGUUGUGUGUUAGGUGGUCGUGUUGUGUUUUGUAGGCAGCUAUACCCACGGCGUUGUAACGAUCAAAUUUUUAAUUAAUAAAAUUUUGGUCGUUACAAAUAUAUGGAGUCAUACUGUAGAUUCUGCGGUGAUGAGAUUAAUGAUCAAUUACACAUAUGCUGUUAGAAUGCCAAGCGCUAAUGCACUAACGGAAUAAACUCCUAGGAAUGUAUAUCCUUAUGGAAGAUGCAAUAAAUAUCUGUAAAAUCAGCCUAGCCUACGACAUCUGUAAAAAAUAAUCUCUCCAGAAGCAACGAAUAUGUUUUCUCCAGCAACUUAAGCAGACAACUUAAACAUGAUGUGUUUCUGCAGUGAUUAAGCAUAAUGUGCCACGGAAGGAUCUGCAGUUUUUUUUACCUUUUGGAAGUAAAAAAUCUAUAUCUUACUUGAGUUUUGGUCCCCGCAGAGCCCGCAAUAUUGUAUCAGAUACAUCGCAA